CCUCGCCUCACCAUUAACGUUGACGUCCGUCGUUCUCGCCUUUCCACUGUCACCACCGUACGUUGCACUCUAGGCCCUUUUCUUAUACGUAAGCCCUAACCCCUUUUCUUAUGCGUUGUUCUUCGAUGUUGUCUCUCUCGAUAUCAUUCUCUCUGUUUCAAGCUCUCUCCGUUGCCAUGGUGAUCUAUAGAACAAUAGCGGUAUGAAUCUUUCUCUCACACACACAAUCUCUUUAUCUCUCUCAAUCUACCCAUAAAAACUUAUUUACCUUUCUCACUUUUCUCUUGCAAUCUCUCUUUCUCUCUCUCUGUGGUCUCUGGAAUCGCCUCUCUCUCUCUCUCUCUUCUCAUUUCUUACAGUUGAUCUAGGGUUUUAUAUGAUUUUGUUAGUUCAAUUUUGUGUUGAUUUCUUAAAUUGGUUUGGAUGAAGUGUUUGAUUUCUAUGAAGUUAUGUUCUUCUUGAUGUCGAAAAUGGGUUUGAUUUUAGUUUUAUGGGUUUCACAGCGAAAAAAUUUUGAUGUCAAAAAUCAAAAUCAAUAAACAAUCUGAAAAGAGGUGAAGGUUAAUUACAGAAAUAAGAUAAAUUCCAAGAAGUUCCUUGAAGGUUAAUUAUAGAAAUAAGAUAAAUUCUAGAAAGUUCCUUGAAGUUCCUAGAACCAAAAAUAUCAAAAAAUAAGAAUCGUAAGGUCUUAAAUUAACAGAGUGACUGAUUUAAGGGCUUCAGAGUUUGGGUCCUAACGAUUAGGGGAUGGAUCAGAGUUUGGGGGAGGGAAUGACAUGGGUGGGACAAUUGAGCUUGAAGGGCUUCCAAACACCGCCUACUGGUGUUUCAGCCUCGGCUGCGAAGAACAAGAGGAUGGAUAAUUACAAACAAGGGAAGUAUGUUGAUGCCAUAAAGUGGCUUUCUUGGGCUGUGAUUCUUCUUGAGAAGACUGGUGAUGGUGCUGCUUCCAUGGAGGUCUUAUCUAGCAGGGCUUCAUGUUACAAGAAGUUGGGGAGUAUAAAAAGGCUGUGACAGAUUGUACAAAGGUUUUGAUGCGUUAUAUUAGGAGACUUAGCAGCAGAGGACCUGUAGUUUGGAUACCCUGAAGGACUUCAAUUAUGAAACAGUUGAACAGAGUACAUAAAUGGUCUUAGGGGAGAGUUGAGCAGAAUACUCACAUUAACACAACAAGACAUUUCUGAAGUUGACAGGGAGAGUUGAAGAGAGAAGGAGAUGGUCUGAGGGGAUUCAUCAAGCUAUAGAAGCCAAAGAAGGUGUCAAAAUUGAGCUAGUAGAAGCAGCAAAAGCACAAUUUUCACGUGAUUACAGUGAUCACCUUGCUCUUGUCUGGGCUUAUGAGGCCUGGAAAGAAGCUGAAAGAGACAUGGCUGGAUAUGAAUACUGUUAGAAGAAUUUUCUUUCUGCUCAAUCAAUGAAAGCUGUUGAUGCUCUGUGAAGGGAGUUCUACUCUUCACUUAAGGAAUAUGUUUUAAAUUUUAAUGCUCAAUAGAUGUGAAUUGGAUGAUUAUAUAGAUUACAAGCGGAUUUUUAAUUGAAGGAAUAUAUAGUUUGGAAUUACUUGUGGAUGAAAACUUAUAAUAGUUGCUGACUUUAAUUAAACAGGUUCAGAGUUUGAUGAUUUA